rnacentral:rRNA from 1 species
UACAGAGGUCUCAAGCGUUGUUCGGAUUCAUUGGGCGUAAAGGGUGCGUAGGCGGCGCGGUAAGUCGGGUGUGAAAUCUCGGAGCUUAACUCCGAAACUGCAUUCGAUACUGCGGUGCUUGAGGACUGGAGAGGAGACUGGAAUUCAUGGUGUAGCAGUGAAAUGCGUAGAGAUCAUGAGGAAGACCAGUGGCGAAGGCGGGUCUCUGGACAGUUCCUGACACUGAGGCACGAAGGCCAGGGGAGCGAAACGGG